rnacentral:rRNA from 1 species
AGUGAACGCUGGCGGUAGGCCUAACACAUGCAAGUCGAACGGCAGCACAGUAAGAGCUUGCUCUUACGGGUGGCGAGUGGCGGACGGGUGAGGAAUACAUCGGAAUCUACUUUUUCGUGGGGGAUAACGUAGGGAAACUUACGCUAAUACCGCAUACGACCUACGGGUGAAAGCAGUGGAUCUUCGGACUUUGCGCGAUUGAAUGAGCCGAUGUCGGAUUAGCUAGUUGGCGGGGUAAAGGCCCACCAAGGCGACGAUCCGUAGCUGGUCUGAGAGGAUGAUCAGCCACACUGGAACUGAGACACGGUCCAGACUCCUACGGGAGGCAGCAGUGGGGAAUAUUGGACAAUGGGCGCAAGCCUGAUCCAGCCAUACCGCGUGGGUGAAGAAGGCCUUCGGGUUGUAAAGCCCUUUUGUUGGGAAAGAAAAGCAGCAGGUUAAUACCCCGCUGUUCUGACGGUACCCAAAGAAUAAGCACCGGCUAACUUCGUG